rnacentral:rRNA from 1 species
UACGAAGGGGGCUAGCGUUGCUCGGAAUUACUGGGCGUAAAGCGCACGUAGGCGGACUCUUAAGUCGGUGGUGAAAUCCUGGAGCUCAACUCCAGAACUGCCUUCGAUACUGAGAGUCUUGAGUCCGGGAGAGGUGAGUGGAACUGCGAGUGUAGAGGUGAAAUUCGUAGAUAUUCGCAAGAACACCAGUGGCGAAGGCGGCUCACUGGCCCGGUACUGACGCUGAGACGCGAAAGCGUGGGGAGCGAACAGG